rnacentral:lncRNA from 1 species
CCUAGGCUGAAAUAACCAGCACUACUUGCCAAACACUUUAGAAAGAUUAUGUUUCUUCUCCAUUACAGAAGUGGAACAUAUGGUUCAGUUUGCAGCAAGAUCCUCCCAGGAAAGUGAAGCGGAGAAAAUGGAGGUAGAAACUAUUCUCCUCAUUAAACUACCUGCCCUCUGUAAUGUAGCUCUUCUGUGCUGCAGAAAUUGAUACUACACAAGAAAAGAAAUGAUGGGAGAAUAGUGAAGAAGAGAAGAACUGGCCAGGAAAAGGAAAACACUAUGUGGAAGCAAGACACACAGGGAAAACAUCCUGUGAUGACAAAGGCAGAGAUUCGAGUGCUGCAGCUGCAAGCAAAGGCACACCAGGGAUUGAAGGCCAUCACCAGAAGCUGGGAAGAGACAAGGAGGGAUUGGAACAUGGCCCUGCUGUCACCUUGAUUUUGAACAUCUAACCUCCAGAACUGUGAGACAAGUUUAUAUUGUUUUAAGUGAUGCAGUUUGUAGUACUGUGUUAUGGAAGCCCCAGGAAACUAACACUGUGACUUUGUUCUAAUAGUAUCUCUCUGGCUGAAUGUUGAGAAUAAACUAGAGCUAGGUCAAGGGUAGGAAUAGAAGGCUAACUUUGAUCAAGUGUCCUCGGAGGCAGAUUCAUAGGAAAUUGCAAAUAGGAGGUUUUUCCAGGAAUGCUCUUGGGAGCAAGAUGGGGUGGGGGUGGUGUUGCAUGGUGCGAGGAAUUAGGAACUUAGCAUUGGCAAGAGAGAGAAGUGGGGCUGCAAAGAAGAGGCAAAGAGCCCUCAGGCACUCCAACGGAGAAAGAGCUGGAGUGGUGAAUAUGGAAUAGCCUUUCCCAGUCAUCAUCUACAUGUGAGGAGUGGGCCGCCUCUAAGUAAUGCUGUGUAGUAUAGGUAUUGAAUGUGGGCUAACCCAUUUGAGCAGAUGUAACCUUGAGCAAGACAGCUUCGUUCAGCAAACAGAAGGAAAUACUUGAGGAACUCAUCUGUGAGCAGCUACAUUCCUCAAGCUGCAGAAAUGAAUACUUUCAUCCUGGGGAGGAGGAAUAUGUGAGCUGUUCACAGCAUCCUUGAAACAGGACAUUGCACCUACAGAGGAGAGAUUCAAACAGCACAAGAAAACACGGAUAUUAGAGUGCAUGGAAUUCUGUGUGCAUGAAUAGUGUAGUUGUGUGUUUACAUGUCCUAGCAAGGAUCUUCCAUUUGUACAGCACUCAAGAUGUUUAACAUACUGUACUUAAUAUGGUGGCGACAAUAACCCUGUGAUGUAGGUAAAGACAGGUAUUUUAAUAUGCCCAUUUUACUUAUAAGGAAUAUAAAGCCCAGAAAUGUUGAGUGAUUUGACCAAUAACACAGAAUUAGUUUGUGUUAGGAAUGGGACUGAAAACAUGGUCUUCUGAAUCCAUGUCUUGAGCUCUUCAUACCAGGCCAUUUGA